rnacentral:rRNA from 1 species
UACGUAGGGGGCAAGCGUUGUCCGGAAUCAUUGGGCGUAAAGCGCGCGUAGGUGGCCUCGUAAGUCCGCUGUGAAAGUCAAAGGCUCAACCUUUGAAAGCCGGUGGAUACUGUGAGGCUAGAGUACGGAAGAGGCGAGUGGAAUUCCUGGUGUAGCGGUGGAAUGCGCAGAUAUCAGGAGGAACACCAAUAGCGAAGGCAGCUCGCUGGGACGUUACUGACACUGAGGCGCGAAAGCGUGGGGAGCGAACAGG